CCUUAGGCAAAUUCCGCUCCAAUUUCAAGAAAGUUGUUGAAAACAAUGUAUUGCAUGUAUGUAGUUUCUAAUAGAAGAGUGAAACAAAACAAAACAAGAACAACAAACAAAGCUGUCAAUAGUUGAAGCUUAAAAACCUGCACAUAAAGAAUUGAUUCCCACGUUGAAAACAAACAAGCAGCAGACACACAAAUCCUGCUCUUGACUGUAAGUAGCCUCUUGAAGACUCUGGGCUCUCUGCCAUCCGUUAACCCUUCCCAGGCUUUGGUGUGCUAUCGCACUCUGCCUCUCAGGGCACUGUCCUGGAAGCAGCAAAUGACAGUGAUAUUCUGGACUCCAGGCGCAGCCAAGGAGACCAUCGAGGUUCGUGAACCACAGAAGGCAUCGGUACCAGAGCCAGAAAAGUUGAUGCCCUGACCAUGUGUUUCUUUUUUUGGAUUAAAAAAAAGUUUAUUCUUAAAAUUAAUUCCGUGUUAAGUAAAGCUGAUGUGUUAGACAUUAGAAACACAUUGAAACUCAGCUUUCAUUUUAAAAAGAAAUAAAUGAUGCCCUCUUUCGUGGUGAACAUGCACUCAUGAAAGAUGCUCUGGAUUACCCGAGAGACUUCUUCAGUGUGGUCCAGGCAGCAGAUCUGAUGAAGACCGAGCAAGAUCUCGCUCUAAGGCGUGAAGCCCCGUCGCCAGGUUUCGCGUUCUCUCACAGUGGCUGCCUGUGUCCUGAAAUCCCUGAGUCUUUCAUGUGCAUCCUCACCCCUCCUCCAGUUGAGGCACAAAGCGAAGGCACUGUUAACGUUUGAAAGUGAAGGGCCAUUCAUCACAGAUCCAGAAUAGGAGGGAGUUAAAAAGUCCUGUGUCCAGGUUCCUGCCCUCCGAAGGGAAAGCACCAUUAGUGGUUACAGACGGGAGUCAGACUGCCUGUGUCUGAAUCUUGAGCCCAUUCCUGCCUGGCUGUGGGACCUUGGGGAAGACACUUACCCUCUUUGUGCCUCAGUUUCUUAUCUGAAAGGUUCAAAAAGUAUAACAUCUACCUGAAUUGUAAUCCUGGGAGGAUUAUGUUAAGAUAAUGUAUGGAAAACACUUUGAUCGGUGCCUGUUCAAUAAAUGUUGGCUAUUAUUAUCUUCA
rnacentral:lncRNA from 1 species